UUGUCUUCCCAAAUUCAGAACUUUCAUCUAAACCUCUGGGAUAUCCCCUAAACCAUAUAUGUUUUAUUAGGAGUUAAAUAAAUUUGGAGGAGAGAACAAGCUUAACAUCCUCUUGGCCUGUGACACGUGAUUAGCAGAUUUAUCCAAUAAGACCUCAGUGAUCCUGAUUCUCAGGCCACAGCUGUUUGCACUAUGCAUUCCCCUCAUCAGGGAUGUGCUUGGAAUGAGCAUAUGACAUGACUCUCGUCAAUGAAAUUUGAAGUUAAGACUCCAAAGGCCUUCUUGGAAGAUAUAGAAAGAGUUCCAUCCUCCCACUGGAUAUUAUUACAAUCAGAUGAGACGCUUUUGUACCUACCUAUACCCGCAAUGUAAUUAAAACCAGAUAUGAUACUUGAAAUUGCAGCAGUCACAAUACUACCCAAAUCUGAGGUCAGAACUUGGGAAAAUUACCAGGUAACACAGAGAUUCAGAGCCAAGUCCAUGACCCGCUAUGUACAGAGUCUACUACUGCGUCUGGAUUUCUUGUUAUUUGAGGCCACACUUUUCCCUGUUAUGAAAGCCAAUUUUCACUGGGAUUUU
rnacentral:lncRNA from 1 species